rnacentral:rRNA from 1 species
AGUGAACGCUGGCGGUAGGCCUAACACAUGCAAGUCGAACGGCAGCACAGUAAGAGCUUGCUCUUACGGGUGGCGAGUGGCGGACGGGUGAGGAAUACAUCGGAAUCUACUUUUUCGUGGGGGAUAACGUAGGGAAACUUACGCUAAUACCGCAUACGACAUACGGGUGAAAGCAGGGGAUCUUCGGACCUUGCGCGAUUGAAUGAGCCGAUGUCGGAUUAGCUAGUUGGCGGGGUAAAUGCCCACCAAGGCGACGAUCCGUAGCUGGUCUGAGAGGAUGAUCAGCCACACUGGAACUGAGACACGGUCCAGACGACGAAGGGAGGCAAAAGUAAGGAAUAUAAGACAAAGGGCGAACACCUGAUCCAACCAUACCGCAUGAGUGAAGAAGGCCUUCGGGUUGUGAAGCCCUUUUGUUAGGAGAGAAAAGCAGCAGGUUAAUACCACGCAGUUCUGACGGAACACAAAGAAUAAGCGACGGCUAACUUCGUG